rfam:Enterobacter sp. 638, complete genome.
UCCAAUGGUGGGCCGAGCGGGGGCGUCGCAAGACGCGCCGGUAUCCGAAGAGGCCGGUAAGGCUAACCCUGUUCGGUUCCACCGCCAGC